rfam:Brassica oleracea var. oleracea cultivar TO1000 chromosome C4, whole genome shotgun sequence
UUAUAUAGACGUAUAUAAUUGUGGGGUUCUAAGCUUUACGGGAAAUCCAACCGAAAGAUUUUUAAAUAAGAAACUUUCGAUUGGGUUUCCCGUAAAGCUUAGAACCCACAAUUACAUACGCCUAUAUAA